rnacentral:rRNA from 1 species
UACGUAGGGUGCAAGCGUUAAUCGGAAUUACUGGGCGUAAAGCGUGCGCAGGCGGUGAUGUAAGACAGAUGUGAAAUCCCCGAGCUCAACUUGGGAACUGCAUUUGUGACUGCAUCGCUGGAGUGCGGCAGAGGAGGAUGGAAUUCCGCGUGUAGCAGUGAAAUGCGUAGAUAUGCGGAUGAACACCGAUGGCGAAGGCAAUCCCCUGGGCCUGCACUGACGCUCAUGCACGAAAGCGUGGGGAGCAAACAGG